AAAAAUUCCUUCCCUAUUUAUCCUCCUAUGUCUUGCCCACCAAAUUUUUGUCUUCCUAUUUCUCUUUAAUCCUUUCCUUUUCAGUGAUUUCUUUCCUUUGGAACAUAAACAUAUUUCUUUACCUCAAAAGUCAAACCCCUGACUUGAUCCUGUAGUCUCCUCUAACUACCUUUCUCUUUCUUUCCACUUAUGCUUCUGGAAAUGUUGUCACAAUUUUCUGUCAUGUUUUUCUCUUCCCAUUGAAUUUUGAUUCUUCUGCUGUGUGGAUUUCCUCCUUGAAAUCUUCAGUGAAACAACUGAACAUUCAGAGCUAUUUCAUUUUCAAAGAUUCUCACAUCCAACAGAGAGAAGAAGGUCAUACGAAGACACGCAGAAUUUGGACUUAUGCGGUCACAAGUCAAGGAGUGCUUGGAGCUACCGGGAGAUGGAAGAGUCAAGGCAGGAUUUUCCCUGGAAGAUUUGGAAGGAACAUAUUUCUCCUGAAACCUUGAUUCUAGCCUUCACUAAUGACAGAGAAUAAAUUUCUGUUCUUUUAAGCCACUCAGUUUGUGGUACUUUGUCUUACAGAAACCCUGGGACACUAAUAAAUUUCCUAAGUGGUAUACAUAACAUCUUCUAACAUUAUGAUUCUAUGGAAUGCUUUGAUAAUCAGCUAAAAGUUAUCGGCUGUCUCCCAGGAAAGAUGCACAAACAUACAUAUUCAACAUUUUGUGUUCAAUUUUUCAAGUUUCCAGGAUUUCCAGGGCCUCUCUACAGAUC
rnacentral:lncRNA from 10 species